rnacentral:rRNA from 1 species
GACGAACGCUGGCGGCGUGCUUAACACAUGCAAGUCGAACGGAAAGGCCCUGCUUUUGUGGGGUGCUCGAGUGGCGAACGGGGGAGUAACACGUGAGUUACCUGCCCUUGACUUUGGGAUAACUUCAGGAAACUGGGGCUAAUACCGCAUAGGAGCUCCUGCUGUAUGGUGGGGGUUGGAAGGUUUCGGCGGUUGGGGAUGGACUCGCGGCUUAUCAGCUUGUUGGUGGGGUAGUGGCUUACCAAGGCUUUGACGGGUAGCCGGCCUGAGAGGGUAACCGGCCACAUUGGGCCUGAGAUGCGGCCCAGACUCCUACGGGAGGCAGCAGUGGGGUGUAGUGCACAAUGGGCGGAAGCCUGAUGCAGCAACGCCGCGUGCGGGAUGACGGCCUUCGCGUUGUGAACCGCUUUCGCCUGUGACGAAGCGUGAGUGACGGUAAUGGGUAAAGAAGCACCGGCUAACUACGUG